rnacentral:lncRNA from 1 species
AUGUGGCAGCCCCUGGAGCUGCACAUGCAGCUGUGGGGUCCUCCAACCUAUCCCUGUGUUGGCUGCAGGCUGAGGGAGGCAAGGACUGGGCACAAGUGCACAAGGCCAGGUGGGCUUUCUAUGGCAUUAUCGGUUUUUGUACCGCUAACCUUGAGGUACUUAUGCUUUAGCUCCUUAAAGGCUACAGCAGGAACCGCCCUCCUCACUUUCUCUGGCUUUCUUCCUCCAUCUUCCUCUUGGACUCCUGGAGUGCCUGUGACUCCUCGGGGCUUCAGUUUCCCGGUCUGGAGUCAGGCUAGAGGGUCCCAGGCACCCCUGACUUCUCGGCCCCAGUUUCCUGUUGCAAAGGAUCGUUUCCCCUUAGCCCCAGUUUUCAUCAGCUUGUCUACUGUUUAUCAAUUUUGUACUUACAUCUUCAAAGAACUAAAAUAUGGAAACACCUGUGGAGCAACUAGAAACCAACACAAAAGACCAGUCCAACUGGACCUGAAGCUGGAAGCCCCACAGAACAUAGCCUGGAUGAACCAACUCACAGCCAACCUGCAGACCAGGAAUAGGAAGAGACGAUGGGGUUUGGGGAUGGUUUGUUAUGACUAAUUGAUAGAGCUCAUGGGUUUAUAUAGUAAAUUGAUAGAGUUUAUACAUUUUAUUUAACCAACUCCCUACAGAUGGACAAAUUGAACUAUUCCAAGAAAAGUUUGGCUCAUUUUAAAAAACAUUUCUAUAAGAUCUAUUUCUAGAAGAAUUGCAUCAAAGAAUUUGUACUCUUAAACUUUGAAAACAUAUUACUCAAUUAUGCUCACCAAAGCUAUGCGGAUUCAUGUUCUUAUCAUCAGUUUAUAUUUUUCCUCCUAUAUUACUACACCGAAUAUUAAAAUAUUUGAUUAUCUCAUAAAUGAAAUAUGAUAUCUAUUUAAAUUUGCAUUUCUCUGAGCACUAGAGACUGAAUACUUUUCCAUAUAUGGAUUUGUCAUUUAUUUAUUUUUUCUCUGAAUUUUCUCCUUCAUGUUCUUUGUUCCCUUUUAUAAUAAGUAUUUUGUCUGAUUAUUUGGAGAUUUCUUUUAUAUAACGGCUCAAUAUUAAUUUUUUUAUCUGUUAAAAGUAUUGCAAAUAUUUUGUUUAAUUCUGAAAUUUUUUAAAAAGCUUUUUUUCAGUAUCUUUUACUUAAGAGAAGCUUAAUAUAUUUGCAAGGUAAUAUUUUACUUUAUAGCUCUAUAUUUGCCUAAGAAUAUUUCCCAUUUAAAAACUACUAAAAUCUAUCAUAUUGUCUUCUGUUAUAUUUAUAAUUUUUUUUAUUGUUUUGGGUCUAUAUAUCAUCCGACAUUUGGUUUUGUUUUUGUGGUACGAGGAAUCCAACCCAGGGCCUCAUGCACAAGUGCUUUACCACUGAGCUAUACCCUGAGUCCUAUUUUUGGGUUAUUAUUUUGAGUUAAGUAUAAGAUUCUUUCCCAAAACAAUAGGUAAUUAUUCCAACAGUGUUUAUCAAAUACUCCACUACUUCCUUUUUAAUUUGAAAUGCCAUACUUAAACUAGAUUUUAAUUAAGGGUUGUUUCUAGAAUUUUUGUUCUAUUCCACUGAUCUCUCAUAGCAUUGUGUCAAUACUAUGUUGUUUGACUGCUGAUGUCUUAAACUGCAUUUUGGUAUCUUCAGGCAAAGUACUCCCAAUAGCUCUUUAUACAAAUUUUUUAUUCUUGGCAUUUACUCUUCCGGAGGAACUUGAGAAUAUUAACAAAUCCAUAAUAAAUUCUAUGUGGAUUUGGUUGGGAUUGCAUCAAAUAUAUAGAUUAAUUUGUAGAGAAUCAUAUUUUGACAGCAACGAGUCAUGGCAUAUGAUUUAUGUCUUGAUUUUUAUAAGUUUUUAUUUUAAUGAUCUCUGGCAAAAAAAAAAUUUUGCUUUUCUUCAUGUAGGUUUUGCACAAUUCCUAUUAGGUUUAGUUCUAGAAUGUCUUCUUUUGUUCUAUAAUGAAUCUAUUGACAUGAAAAAAUUUUGUCAAUACAUUUGGCCCCAAAAUUAGAUUAAUAGCAUUUAUGAUAUCAUUCCACUUUUGGUUAAAAAUAUGUCUACGUGUAUGGAUGGCUCUAUAUGUAGAAAAACUUUGAGUAUAAUUGUUAAUUUAAUUCUCUAUCUCCACUUGGUUGAUCUCUUUUAUUAUUUUUGAUAACUUUGUGUGUAACACCACAAGGCUCCUGGCACAUAUUAGUAGCUCAAAACACCUCGGUUACAUGAAUAAAUGAAUGGAAUAAAGGGAUUUUGAAGGAUCUCCAUAGGAAGGAUGACAAUGCCUUUUCUCUGAGCACAUAGAACUCUGGAUUUAAGUUUUUUUCUGCUUAUAUUUUUUUUAAAUUUCUUAAGAUCAUGUGUUAUCUCAUAAUUUAAAAAAAUCAAAAAAAAAGAUCUUCACUGGGGAAAAGAAGAAAAGCAUAUUGAACAAGCACAUGAGGAGAUACUUCCUGUGUUACUUGAAAAAUUUAAAAGAAGAAAAAAUUGUGCAGGCCCUAAAAGUGGCUAGAGGGCAGGUUGUUCCCCUCCGGGUUUCUUGAUUAUUCAAAUUUUAGAGGCUUAGUUUUGUGCUUUGUGAAACGGGAAUCUCUUUGCUUUGCCUUAGCCUCUCACUGCUCCUUCUAUGCUGAGUUAGGAACUCUCUGCCUGCUGGAGCCGGGCUCAAGACCCUCAUCAAAGGCACAGCAUAGUUCAGAGGGACUUGAGGGAACCCAGGGAAGUCAUUCUUCAGACCCUGAGGUUGUUUUUACAUUAUGAUGAUAUACGGUAUAUGUAGCUACGAUGCCUGGGUACAUCUACAGGGAGGGCAGACCAGGAGGCCUUAGGGUUGGGAGGGCCACCAGGUCAAUAAUAUAUGCAGCUGGCAAAAAAGAACAUCGACCUCAUUUCCUCUCGAGAAUAGAUGACUAUAACCCCAGAGUCCUGGUUUGCAUGUAAAUAAUGAGCAAUACUGCUCGGCCACUUGUAUCAUUGAAGAGAGAGUGAAACAAAAAAGAGAAACACAAAUUAGAAAAAUAUGAGGUCAUCGCUAAUAGAUCUGUGCAAGGAAGUAUAAUUCAUCUGGUUAUUUUUGCUUCCUCUAGAAAGCAGCACAGUGUUGGUAUGCUUCUAUACCUGAGAUUUAAAAAAAAAUAAUAAUUGAUAUGAUUAUUAUCAAUGAAAUAAUCACUAUAAGUAAUGAAAAAUAAAUAAUACGUUUCUCAGGAGAAAGACUGAUGUAUCAAUUGUAGCAUUUGGCUGCGGAGCCCAUUAAAUCCUGACCUUGGCACUGAACAGUUGCCCCACAAAUGAUUUGACUACACUGGUAAUAACCUGGGAAGGAGGCCAAGGGUGUAUAAUUCUGGGGAAGUUAGGCUCUCUUUCUGAGCCUGGUUACAGGCAGCAGCCUAGGGCCUCAUUAAUCUGAAAGAUCCUGGUUUGCUUUUUUAAAAAAAUCCUUUCAGAAGAGUGAAUAGCCUUUAUUCUUCAUUUGCUUUAUUGCCCAUGCUAUAUGGCACAGGGCUUGAUUCAUCCCAUGCACUCUAUUGUUUCUCCUCUAAUUUUUUUUGUGAUGGAAAAUAUAAACAUAUGCUAAAGUAGACAGAAUAGUAUACACUUCCUUUCCCGUAUCCUCCCCCCCCCCAGCUUUAAUUCUAUCACAUCAUGGCUUCAUUGACACCUAUACUUCCUCCAAUUUACUUGCCUGUGGGCCCAGGAACCAGGAGGUUUGGGACAAAUUCAGUCCUGUUCAAGAUUUCAGGGCACAGAAAGACAGGCCUGAGCCUUGACAAGACCUUGACCUUGUCAAAGCUGGGGAAAGAGGAGACAUUCGGUUGGAGAAGGAAAAAACCUUCAAGGCCAAAGAGACAUUUUCAAAAUUUCACAGGGCAAUUAAGGAAAAUGGAAAACAAAUUUCAAAAGCUUGGAAACUCCAGGGAGACGACUAUGGGGCAUGGCUUAAGGAUGAAUGUCAAAGCACAGAAAACAAUAUGGAAAUAUACACCCAAGUGUGAUAUCCUCUGGGAAGAAGGAUCUGGGACCAGCCCUGGGAGUUGUGGUCCAUGGUCCACAGCUUGCUAUGGAAGAACCAUCCAACCUCCAGAGUUUGUCAGACCACAAAGAUCAUAGCUUAGCAAAUCUAGAAGGGUAACCAGGAGCUUUACUUUUUCUUUUUUUUUUUUUUUUGCCAUGAUGAGGAUC